rnacentral:rRNA from 1 species
GGAGCCCAAUGCGUCGGAGAUUCCUCGGAAUCAAAUGACUCUCGGCAAUGGAUAUCUCGGCUCUUGCAUCGAUGAAGAACGUAGUGAAAUGCGAUACUUGGUGUGAAUUGCAGAAUCUCGUGAACCAUUGAGUCUUUGAACGCAAGUUGUGCCCGAGGCCUUCUGGUCGAGGGCACGCCUUCUUGGGCGCCAUGGCAUCGUCGCCUUUGC